GGGGGCGUAAAGGUUUCGACAGGGUUGUUCGGUGGUGCGGUAAGCGAGUCGUGAUUUUGGGGCCACGCUAAAAACCCGAGCGUAAAUAUAAACGCUAACAAUAGAACUAAUUUAGUAGCUGCUUAAUGCAGCUUCCGCUGACCUGAGUUUACUGCGGACUUAGCCAUCAGCGCCAAAACACGCAGUGCACGUUAGCAGCCUAAGCUUUGCGGUUGCAAUGACAAAUGAAGCUACUUUCCUUGCAAGCCUGCCCUUGUGCCAGUAAGGAAGGGAAUCCUUAAUCAAUGGCUACACUCGUAGAAAACUGCAUUUCCGCUUCUUUGGACAGGGGUUCGACUCCCCUCGCCUCCACCA
rnacentral:tmRNA from 1 species